rnacentral:rRNA from 1 species
CGUUGGCGGCGUGCUUAACACAUGCAAGUCUACUUGAAUAUUUUCUUCGGAAUUUAGGAUGGUGGCGAACGGGUGAGUAACGCGUAGAUAAUCUGCCCUUUAGACUGGGAUAAGCUCGGGAAACUGAGUCUAAUACCGGAUGUGAUCAUCGAGAUGCAUGUUUUGAUGAUUAAAGAACUUGAUUCGCUAAAGGAUGAGUCUGCGUGGCAUUAGCUAGUUGGUGAGGUAACAGCUCACCAAGGCAUCGAUGCCUAGCUGGUCUGAGAGGAUGAUCAGCCACACUGGGACUGAGAUACGGCCCAGACUCCUACGGGAGGCAGCAGUGAGGAAUAUUGCACAAUGGGGGCAACCCUGAUGCAGCAACGCCGCGUGUAUGAAGAAUCGGUUUAUCCGUGUAAAGUACUGUUGAUUGGGAAGAACGGCAGGGUUGGUAGCCUUGUUUGACGGUACCAGUUAAGAAAGCUCCGGCUAACUCCGUGCCAGCAGCCGCGGUAAUACGGAGGGAGCAAACGUUGUCCGGAAUCAUUGGGCGUAAAGGGUACGAAGGUGGGACCUUAAGUCAGUUGUUAAAGAUUACAGCUUAACUGUGAUUUGCAAUUGAAACUGGGGUUCUUGAGUUCGAGAGGGGACGGUGGAAUAUUUAGUGUAGCGGUGGAAUGCGUAGAUAUUAAAUAGAACACCUGAGGCGAAGGCGACCGUCUGGCUCGUAACUGACACUCAAGUACGAAAGCAUGGGUAGCGAACAGGAUUAGAUACCCUGGUAGUCCAUGCCGUAAACGAUGGAUACUAGAUGUCCGGGGAACUAACCCCCUGGGUGUCGCAGCUAACGCAUUAAGUAUCCCGCCUGGGGAGUACGAUCGCAAGGUUGAAACUCAAAGGAAUUGACGGGGGCCCGCACAAGCGGUGGAGCAUGUGGAUUAAUUCGAUGCAACGCGAAGAACCUUACCUGGGCUUGAACCGUACUUGCCCGUUAUAGAGAUAUAACUUCCGAGCAAUGGGACACCUGUAGAGGUGCUGCAUGGCUGUCGUCAGCCCGUGUCGUGAGAUGUUGGGUUAAGUCCCGCAACGAGCGCAACCCUUAUCUUUAGUUGCCAGCGCGUAAUGGCGGGGACUCUAGAGAGACUGCCUGUGUUAAACAGGAGGAAGGGUGGGGAUGACGUCAAGUCCUCAUGGCCCUUAUGUCCAGGGCUUCACACGUGCUACAAUGGAUUGGACAAAGUGCAGCUAUACCGCGAGGUAAUGCGAAUCACUAAACCAGUUCUUAGUUCGGAUUGGAGUCUGCAACUCGACUCCAUGAAGCCGGAAUCGCUAGUAAUCGUGGAUCAGCAUGCCACGGUGAAUACGUUCCCGGGCCUUGUAACACCGCCCGUCACACCAUGGAAGUCGAUAGUGCUCGAAGUGACUGAUCUAACCAGCAAUGGAGGAAGGUUACUAAAGCAAGAUUAUAACUGG